AAAUGCAUGAGUCAUCACUCAGUACAAGAUAUAAAAUGUGUACGGUACCAUUAAUUUACCAAGCCUUACAGGGUGCACGUAGACUUGGCCCAAAGUUUGGAAAAUGUAUUAAAUAUUAUCAUCACUUCACAAUUUGUGUUGUUCAGUGAUUACUAGGGGUGUCACGAUUCUCCAAAUCCACGAUUCGAUUUUGACUUUCGAUUUUAACUAUACACAAAUUGUAUAGUACAAUCAAUCACACACUAUGACAGCAUACAUGAAAUUGUGCUUAUAAGUUAAAGGUUCUGUACACAAUACUUUGAACAUUAAUAUAGCAGCAAACAGCUAUUUGCUAUGUAAAGAUUUAGUGGAGUAAUGGCUUCCUGAGCAGAGAAUGACACCACACUCCCUCAGUUUAUUGUCAUCCGAGCUUCUCUGUUCUUUGUUUUGGUAACCAGUCCAGCCGCGUGUGCAUGUUAGUGCAUGUGAGACUCUCCGGGUGAAACUGCUGGCUUUGAGGAGAGCGAUACGACAGUUGUUUCUUUUCUCAUUUAACGCGGUGAAUUAAGGAUUUAUUUCAACCAAACCAGAGUUGGUGAUUGUUGGAACAGUGGAAAGACUAACAAAGACCGUUUUGGUACCUGAAGAAAUACGCCCACACCAAUGCAGGGCUGUUUUCCGUCUGAACGCCUACUUAGGCUUUGAAACAACAUUGGUGCCACUGGAUACUGUUGAUAAACAGACGGACUCCAGAGGGUUAACACGGAACUAAAACUCCAAGAUAACGAUAUUCCUGUGUAAGAGUGUGCCUUCAGUGGGGAGUGUGUGGGAUUGACUAGGUUGCACACCUCACUGUGAAAAACUAAUCAGAGGAAAUUCUCACUUUUGCUUCCCAAACAACUCAAAUAAAGAACAAGAGGGACGAUGUUUGUCUGUGUGCGUGUAGACAUUUAAAACAUUUAUUCAAGCAGCGGUUUAUGGU